GGGCGGUUAGCUCAGUUGGUUAGAGCGCCAGUAUGACACACUGGAGGUCACAAGUUCGAUUCUUGUAUCGCCCA
rnacentral:tRNA from 1 species